rnacentral:rRNA from 1 species
GAUGAACGCUGGCGGCGUGCCUAAUACAUGCAAGUCGAGCGAACGGACGAGAAGCUUGCUUUUCUGAUGUUAGCGGCGGACGGGUGAGUAACACGUGGAUAACCUACCUAUAAGACUGGGAUAACUUCGGGAAACCGGAGCUAAUACCGGAUAAUAUUUUGAACCGCAUGGUUCAAAAGUGAAAGACGGUCUUGCUGUCACUUAUAGAUGGAUCCGCGCUGCAUUAGCUAGUUGGUAAGGUAACGGCUUACCAAGGCAACGAUGCAUAGCCGACCUGAGGGGGUGAUCGGCCACACUGGAACUGAGACACGGUCCAGACUCCUACGGGAGGCAGCAGUAGGGAAUCUUCCGCAAUGGGCGAAAGCCUGACGGAGCAACGCCGCGUGAGUGAUGAAGGUCUUCGGAUCGUAAAACUCUGUUAUUAGGGAAGAACAUAUGUGUAAGUAACUGUGCACAUCUUGACGGUACCUAAUCAGAAAGCCACGGCUAACUACGUG